UACGUAGGGGGCAAGCGUUGUCCGGAAUUAUUGGGCGUAAAGCGCGUGUAGGCGGCCAGAAAAGUCCGCUGUGAAAACUCGAGGCUCAACUUCGAGCUGUCGGUGGAAACUUUCUGGCUAGAGUCCGGAAGAGGAGAAUGGAAUUCCUGGUGUAGCGGUGAAGAUGCGCAGAUAUCAGGAAGAACACCCGUGGCGAAGGCGGUUCUCUGGGACGGUACUGACGCUGAGACGCGAAAGCGUGGGGAGCGAACAGG
rnacentral:rRNA from 1 species